rnacentral:rRNA from 1 species
AACGCGAAGAACCUUACCAACCCUUGACAUGCCAGGACGGUUCUCAGAGAUGGGUUCCUUCUCGCAAGAGACCUGGACACAGGUGCUGCAUGGCUGUCGUCAGCUCGUGUCGUGAGAUGUUGGGUUAAGUCCCGCAACGAGCGCAACCCUCAUCUUCAGUUGCCAGCGGUUCGGCCGGGCACUCUGAAGAAACUGCCGGUGACAAGCCGGAGGAAGGUGGGGAUGACGUCAAGUCCUCAUGGCCCUUACGGGUUGGGCUACACACGUGCUACAAUGGCGGUGACAAUGGGUAGCAAAGCUGCAAAGCCGAGCUAAUCUCAAAAAGCCGUCUCAGUUCGGAUUGCACUCUGCAACUCGAGUGCAUGAAGUCGGAAUCGCUAGUAAUCGUGGAUCAGCACGCCACGGUGAAUACGUUCCCGGGCCUUGUACACACCGGCUAC